AUAAUCAAGGCUUCAUGCAGACUUGGAUCCUGCCUAUUUUAAACUUGCUCAUUUUCCAUGUGACCCAAAUAUGGCUCUUUUUUGGAUAUGCGUUUUCUGAAAAAAAUUAAGAUACGUAUCAUAGAAUGGCUUGGGUUAGAAUGACCUCAAAGAUCAUCUAGUUCUAAACCCCUGCCUUGGGCAGGAUUGCCAACAGCUAGAUCAAGCACUAGAUCAGGUUGUCCAGGGCCCCAUCCUACCUAGCCUAGAACACCUCCAGGAAUGGGGCAUCUGCAGCUUCUCUGAGCAAACUCUUCCACUGCCUCACCACCCUUUCUCAGAAAAGCUUUCCUCCUGACAUCUAAUCUGAAUCUCCCCUCCUCUAAUUUAAGAUCAUUCCCUCUUGUCCUAUGCAAGAAGGAAGCAUGCUUAUCAUAGCUUUUCCAGUUUGUAUUCAUGCAAAAGCAUGGACUACUAAUAGUAGACUAUACAUCUGUUACUUGUAUAGUCUUGCCUUCUGAGAAGUAUGUCUAGCUCACCCAACAUACUCAAAUUUUGAAGUUCUGUCUCUGUAGCCUCUGUUCCCUUCUGAUGUUGCUUUUUUUAAAAAAAUGUUUAUGUGUAUGUUUUCCUUUCUGACUCGCCUACAGUUGCAGGUCCAGAAAGAAUGGGGCUCCCAUAGGUCCCGUGUCAUACUGAUUGAUCCCUUGUGGUUAUCUAGAAUUAUGCAGGAUAUCUCAAAUGGAAGAUAGCUGUGCAAUGGCAUUUAGCCUGUGCCCCCAGUACCCUGCUUCUGAGAUGGCCGUGCUCUUCUUCUUCCAGCUAUAGCAGAUAACUGCAGUCUUGCAGGCUGCUUUUCACCAUAGCAGAAAUCAGUGAUGUUGAGUCAUGUCAUUUUUGACUUUAACAUUUUCUGUGUACCGGAAUAGCAAUGUUUAUAUAUAGAUGAAUAUUAGGUCACUUUAUAAGGGAGUAUCUUUGCUGUAAGAAUUGAUUUGAAUAAGUCAUGAGGCAAAGAACACAUCUUCCUGCUGCUGGCAGAGUUGUUGUUGGUGAAGAUGACAAACUGCUCACCCUCAAAAUAACCCUGUAAAUACCUCUUAACAGUGUGGAUUGUCUUCCCUUCCAAACAAAUAAAAUCUCCAUAAAGUAGCUUUAGUAUUUUCUGGUGGUGCCUGUCACAUCAAAAAAUAUUCCUCAUCCCUUGCUUUGAGCUCUUUUUCAGUCUUCUAUUAUUUGUCUUCAUGAGCCAGGGAUCCUUUGCUACAUCACAUUUGACCUUGACAACUUGUGAAGAGAGUCAUCAUUUCAUGCUGUCAUUACUAUCAAUUCCUGGAAAUUGUGUGAGGUGCAUGGCUGAAUUUUGCAGAACUGACAAUUGUCCUAUCCCUGCACAAGCUGUUUGUGUUUGCCUCGACACUCAGAUCACUGAAUCCUAAAUGCGCUGCAGGUGCCACACGGUGGUGCUCCUGACUCCAUGUUGAUCAAAGGCCUGCACUGUCUGGAGGGAGUUAAAGCAGAAGCCUACCAGAACUGGCUUUUGAAGGAGGGCUAAGACUCAGUUCUGCAAAGAAGGUAAACCAUCCAGUGGAAUGAGGAAUGUACUUUUCUUGCCCAAUUGAUCUACUAAGUCAGAUAUGAAAAGAAUCACAGAAUUGCAGAAUCAUGGAAUUGAAGGGACCUCAAGAAAUCAUCGAGUCCAAACUCCCCUGCUAAAGCAGAAGAUUCAUGAAGUAUCUCAGCAUCCUUCCGGAAACAGGGGCAGAUACUUUUCUCUAGGUCAAUCAUGAAUGUGAAAAGAAGAAAAGCAGAUGGAGAGGAGAUGCUUCUUCUCCAUGUCAGGAGAGGACCACACAGAAUUAAGAACAGCCAUGGUGGACCCAGACAGGAGCCUCAAUCUUGGGGGCAGCCAGCAGUGGCAUUGGUCUAAUGUCAGUUGAAAUAUCCCUUUUUCUUGCAAGUAAAACUUCAUGUUCAUCUACAUGAAGGCUAUGGCUCAGUGAAAUCAGCAAGAAUGAUUUAAUUGACUUUUGUGUCUAAUCCUGUGAACUGUAGCAUUUUGAUAGUCAUUUAUUUAGGAGUUCAGUUCACCUCUCACUGAGAAUUUCUGAAAACCUUACUGAAAAAUGGAUUGGGCAUUUAGCUGUUUAUGGGAAUCUUGCUUUUAAAUUGUGAGAAGAUAUCUUUUUAAUUAAUCCUCACAGAAAACAAUUGAAUGCUUGACCUACAAGGAUAAUUACUUGUGUUCUGCUUUGAUUAUUUUGUAAAAGUUUUAUUGGAUUUAUAUAGCGUACUGCAUAAUAUGAGAUCUAAAAUUGGAGCUCUAUAUGACAGUAUAAAAUGGGGCUUUAUACUACAGUGUACACUUUCUAGAAUUGACAACCAUGUUGUCUAUAUAAACACAUCAUUCUGUAAUUAGUCUUAUUAUUAGUAUAAUUUUUUAGGGAUUAUCUUCGCUGUCAUUGUGUGUCUUCUUUUGUAUUUUUUUCAUACAUACAAAUCUUUCAUUAAACCAUAAACUGACUAUUGCAGAAAUUAUCUAAGGCUUCAAAACUACUUUGAAUUAUUGUUCAACAUAUGGAAAAAAUCUAAUGGCAUUAUUUGAUAGAAUCCUCUGAAUCUGAGAAAGCAUGAUUAGUUCCUGACUCAUUACUCUUUCCACUGUAGUUUUUUAUCCAUACUGUGUAGUCUUUGUCAAGAGCUAAUAAUAAACAGAAUUAUUUAUGAUUAU
rnacentral:lncRNA from 7 species